rnacentral:rRNA from 1 species
AACGCUGGCGGCGUGUCUUAGCAUGCAAGUUGAGCGGCAAGGGGGAGCGAUCUCCCCUAGAGCGGCGGACUGGUGAGUAACGCGUGGGUAAUCUGCCUUUGGCAUGGGGAUAGCCACUAGAAAUAGUGGGUAAUACCGGAUACGUUCCACGAGGGGAGGACUUGUGGAAGAAAGGCGCUAUGGCGCCGGCCGAAGAUGAGCUCGCGUCCCAUUAGCUAGUUGGUGAGGUAAGGGCCCACCAAGGCGAUGAUGGGUAGCCGGCCUGAGAGGGUGUACGGCCACACUGGGACUGAGAUACGGCCCAGACUCCUACGGGAGGCAGCAGCUAAGAAUAUUCCGCAAUGGACGAAAGUCUGACGGAGCGACGCCGCGUGGAUGAAGAAGGCCGAAAGGUUGUAAAGUUCUUUUGCUGGGGAAGAAUAAGUGUGGGAGGGAAUGCCCGCACGAUGACAUGAACCGGUGAAUAAGCCCCGGCCAACUACGUGCCAGCAGCCGCGGUAACACGUAGGGGGCGAGCGUUGUUCGGAAUUACUGGGCGUAAAGGGCAUGUAGGCGGUCUGGUAAGCCUGGCGUGAAAGUCUGCAGCUUAACUGCAGGGGUGCGCUGGGAACUGCUGGGCUUGAGUGACAGAGAGGGAGCUGGAAUUCCUGGUGUAGGGGUGAAAUCUGUAGAUAUCAGGAAGAACACCGAUGGCGAAGGCAAGCUCCUGGCCGAUGACUGACGCUGAGGUGCGAAAGUGUGGGG